AGAGUUUGAUCAUGGCUCAGAGCGAACGCUGGCGGCAGGCCUAACACAUGCAAGCCGAACGAACCCUUCGGGGUUAGUGGCGGACGGGUGAGUAACACGUGGGAACGUACCUUUAGGUUCGGAACAACACAGGGAAACUUGUGCUAAUGCCGAAUGUGCCCUUCGGGGGAAAGAUUUAUCGCCUUUAGAGCGGCCCGCGUCUGAUUAGCUUGUUGGUGAGGUAAAGGCUCACCAAGGCUUCGAUCAGUAGCUGGUCUGAGAGGAUGAUCAGCCACACUGGGACUGAGACACGGCCCAGACUCCUACGGGAGGCAGCAGUGGGGAAUCUUGCGCAAUGGGCGAAAGCCUGACGCAGCCAUGCCGCGUGAAUGAUGAAGGUCUUAGGAUUGUAAAAUUCUUUCACCGGGGAAGAUAAUGACGGUACCCGGAGAAGAAGCCCCGGCUAACUUCGUG
rnacentral:rRNA from 1 species